ACACAUGCAAMUCGAGCGGAAACGAAGAGGUGCUUGCACCUCUGGCGUCGAGCGGCGGACGGGUGAGUAAUGCUUGGGAAUAUGCCUUAUGGUGGGGGACAACAGUUGGAAACGACUGCUAAUACCGCAUGAUGUCUACGGACCAAAGUGGGGGACCUUCGGGCCUCACGCCAUAAGAUUAGCCCAAGUGGGAUUAGCUAGUUGGUGAGGUAAUGGCUCACCAAGGCGACGAUCCCUAGCUGGUUUGAGAGGAUGAUCAGCCACACUGGGACUGAGACACGGCCCAGACUCCUACGGGAGGCAGCAGUGGGGAAUAUUGCACAAUGGGCGCAAGCCUGAUGCAGCCAUGCCGCGUGUGUGAAGAAGGCCUUCGGGUUGUAAAGCACUUUCAGUAAGGAGGAAAGGUUAAGUGUUAAUAGCGCUUAGCUGUGACGUUACUUACAGAAGAAGCACCGGCUAACUCCGUGCCAGCAGCCGCGGUAAUACGGAGGGUGCGAGUUAAUCGGAAUUCUGGGCGUAAAGCGUAC
rnacentral:rRNA from 1 species